UACGUAGGGGGCAAGCGUUUGUCCGGAAUCAUUGGGCGUAAAGAGCGUGUAGGCGGCUCGGUAAGUCCGCUGUGAAAGUCCAGGGCUCAACCCUGGAAUGCCGGUGGAAACUGUCGAGCUAGAGUCCGGAAGAGGCGAGUGGAAUUCCGUGGUGUAGCGGUGAAAUGCGCAGAUAUCAGGAGGAACACCAAUGGCGAAGGCAGCUCGCUGGGACGGUACUGACGCUGAGACGCGAAAGCGUGGGGAGCAAACAGG
rnacentral:rRNA from 1 species